UAAAAAUUUAUUUAUUUUAGGUAGUAACAGAUUUCUUGAAACCUAAAGAAUUUGGCGGUAUUUUAAAUAAUUAGAGGAACCUGUUAAAUAAAUGAUAAUCCACAACAUAUCUUACCUAAAUUAAGUUUGUAUACCGUUGUUUUCAGAUUAUAUUUAAAGAUUAUGAUCGGAAUUAAUAAAUUUUUAUAAAUCAAAUCAAGGUGCAGCACAUUUAGGUUUUAAUGGGUUACAAUAUAUUUAUAUACACGAAUAAAUCAUGAAAGAAUUUUUUGAAGGUGGAUUUAAAAGUAAUUUAAAAUUAAAAUGUUUAAAUGAAUAAAAAUUUAAAAUAUGC
rnacentral:rRNA from 1 species